rnacentral:rRNA from 1 species
UACGAAGGGGGCUAGCGUUGUUCGGAAUUACUGGGCGUAAAGGGCGCGUAGGCGGCCUGCUAAGUCGAACGUGAAAUCCCUGGGCUCAACCCAGGAACUGCGUCCGAUACUGGUUGGCUUGAAUCCGGGAGAGGGACGUGGAAUUCCAGGUGUAGCGGUGAAAUGCGUAGAUAUCUGGAGGAACACCGGUGGCGAAGGCGACGUCCUGGACCGGUAUUGACGCUGAGGCGCGAAAGCCAGGGGAGCAAACGGG